GAGUUGCUGAUGUAAUCUUCUAUAUAAGAAUUCAUAUAACUCCAUAAGGGUUGGCGUUGUCAGAGUCUCAUUACAUCUAAAAGGUACUUGACAAGUUUAAGUAUUUGAACUUCAAUAUUGCCAAAACUCCAUUAGAUGUGAGCUUUGCACUUCAAAAGAAUGAAGGUGAAAGUGACUCAUAAUUGGACUAUGCAAGAGUGUUGGGAAGUUUGAUGUAUAUCAAGAAUUGUACGCAAUCAAAUAUUGCAUGUGUUUUUAGUUAAUUGAGUUGGUAUACGAGUAAUCUCAAUCAAACUCAUUGGAUGACAAUGAAAAGAUUUUGGGGGUAUCUAAACCAUACUCAAGACUAUGCUUUGCAUUAUAACAAACAUCUAAGAUGAAUAUAAUAAUACAAAUUGGAGCACCGGAUCAAAUAAACUACAAUCCAUGAGUGGAGAUACAUUUACUCUUAGUGGUGGAGGAGUCUCUUAAAAAUCAUCCAAAUAGACAUGUAUUGCGUGCUUUAUAAUGGAAUAUAAUUUUAUUGUGUUAUAAAGCCGGUACAGAAGGUGAAUGGCUCCAAAAUUUCAUGAAACAUAUUCCUUAUUGGCCCAAACCUUUGGCCUCAGUAUACAUAUAGCAUGAUAGUCAAGCUGCGAUGGAUAGGACAAGGAGCAUGAUAUAUAAUGAGAAAGCUCAUCAUAUAAGACGGAGAAUAAUAUCAUUAGAGAAUAGAUCUAUAGUAGAAUUAUCACGAUUGAUUAUGUGAGGUCACAGGAUAAUGUACCGGAUUGCCUUCUAAAAGACCUAUCUAGAGAGGGAGUUGAGAGAUCAUCAAAGGCAAUAGGUUUACACAUAGGACAAGUUAUCAUGACGAUAACUCUACCUAACUGUAAUACCCAUUAUUUUUCUUAGCUUGAAAAUCAUCUCAAGGAUGUUAGAACUUGCUUUGAAAUAAGAAUUCAUUCUUAUACAUAUGGUAUUUCCAUAAUUUUCACUUCCUAUAACGUGAAAAAUUGAAUAAGCUUUCCAUCAAUAUAUAAUUCGCCCAAAUCCGACACCCGGGCAAAGAGUUAGAGCAUUCUGAGCCUUCAGUGCGUCGCGGAGAGAGCUCAAAUGGAAAUUGUCAAAUUCCAGUGUUGCUCCAUAAUACUGGCGCGUCGUGCUAAACUUCCAGGUCGUAGACAAGGUGCAACGUGAUAGCUCCACGUUUCUCCACCAUGCAAUUUCCUAAUUGUCAAUUUCCAGUGAGACGGCGCAAUAAUGCCUUGUCGCGCUAAGGGCCCAACUUGAGAAAUUUUACUAAAAAUUUAAUGAUGUGUCCAGGUUUAAAAGGGUCAACUUCCUACCCCUAUAUAAUCCCUUUAACACGUGAUUCAACCAAUUUUCACCCAAAACAUAUUAGUUUUUGUCAAGUUUAUCUCAAGAACAAACUAGGGUUUCUAUUGGGGAUUCAAAUUCAGGAAGGUUUCACCAUCAAUUUUUAUGAAAUCACGAACUAAGUUAUGCAUAGUGUUCAUUCAUGGACUCCUUUCAUCCAUGAAGUCCAAGAAUCUCUUUUAACUACAAGUUAUGGAUUCUCUUCAUAAUUUCAUGCUUUGUAUGUUCUCUUUCAUGUUGAUAAAUGAGGAAUUGAUUUCUAUUCCAUGAUUUGAUGAUAAAUUUCAUGUGGGUUGAUUAGUAUACAUAAAGAUUUACAAAAUCUCAUGACUAAAAUCUUGUAUGAUGGAAUUGGAAUUGAAGCAUGAUGUUUAAUUGUUGUAUAAUGUGUUUACAUGUACUAUGCAUGCCAUAUGUUUGAUAAAAUGCCUAAAUGAAGGAAUAUUGUCUAACUAGCAUGAUAUUAUGAAAUCCCCAUGUAAGUACAAGUUCAUGCCUAUUACAUGUUUGAUGAAAUGCUCGUAUGAAUGUAGUAUGUAUUAUGAUGUUAGUCAAGUCUUCAAGUAAAUCAUGCUAUGUCAGUUUCCUUCUAUUGAGUCCUAGGGCUACUUGUACCCGAAAUAUUAGCUAUGUGACUAGAGCCAUGUCAUGUUUUCAUGAUACUCUCAGUCAAGCUAUGAACUCUUAGACUUCAGAUAGUCCUAUGACUCAGGAAAAAUCUUCAUAAUCUCAUGACUCAGUCAGUUGUCAGAUAUCAGUAGUAUUCCGUCAGCCAUGAAAAUUCAGUAACUUAGUCCAUGCUCAGUUCAGUAAAUCAUGUUCAGUGUCCAUUCAGAUGGAAGUAGAAAUUAGCACUGAGUGAACCCAAGGAUGGGGACUCACCUGUCAUACGAGGGCGUGAUUCCUAGAAAUAAUCCUUGCAUUCCAGAACUAUGUAGCCAGCAUAGGUUGAGACAUCGUAGCCUGCUAUAUGAGGGUAGAUGAGGUGGCUUAACCUAUUAUGUGGGGGUUCCCACCAUUCUCGCUAGAGUUAUCUGUUAUAUUAGGGUUACUCACAUGUUGUACUUUCCAGUGGCGCGGUAUUGACACCCUUUCAAUCAGGCCAUAGAUUGGACCCCAGCUCAGCUAUCAUAGCACCUUUGGGGCAUGUUGGUUAGAUACUACUUCCCACAGUUUCAUAUUACAGAAUUAGGAUUGUCAGAUACAGUCGAUUAGUCUCAGUAAUAGAACUCAGAUAGUUCUUCAGAUUUCAGGACUGUCAGACACAGUCAGCUCAGACAUAGUACAAAACUCAGAUAGUUCUAUCAGAUUCAGGAUUGUCAGCUACAGUCACCCAUAUUAUCAGUUAUACUCAGAUACAGUCACCCAUGUUAUCAGCAUUAUUCAGAUAUAGUCCUUCAUGUAAUUAGUCAUAACAGUUACUAGCAUAUCACGUUAUUAGUAUACAGACUCAGAAAUCACAAAAUCACGUUGUCAGUUACAGUUACGUAUUUUUGCAUGUAUUCUUACGUUUAUGUUAGACAGUCAGUUAGCAUUAUUCAUGCAUACAAACCCUUGAAUAUAGCCUACCUCACAUGUAUACUCGAUAUAUUUGUACUAACGCAUUCGCGCUAUGGUGCUUUCUUUUUAUGUUACACCAUAGGUUCAGAGACACGAGUUCCAGAUCAGCAGUAGAUUCUAGAUUUAGCAGUCAGAGUAGAAGUGAGUUCUCAUCCUUCGAGGACAUAAUGAUUUUCUAGUAUAUCAUUGAUUAGCUUAUAGUUGGAGUUAGUUGGGGACAUAUCCCAUCAACUCCUUAUUCAGAUUCUUCAGAUAGUAGAGGCUUCCAGACAAGAUGCAGACUAGAUACAGACUAUCAUAUUUUAGACUUCAGUUUUGUUUUGGGUAUUCUAUUACCCCACAAAAAUAUUACGUUAUUCAGUUAUGUUCAUGAUCGAAUCUUAUGGCCUUUCAGUGCAUGUUUCCAUAUUAUUAUGUUAUCUUUUGUAGUAUACAGGUACAGAUAUCACUCAUGGUUAGCUUGUGGUCCUUCGGGGUCAUGAGCACCGUGUAGCAUUUCGGUUACAGCAAAUCGGGUUAUUACACUAACAAUCUGGAGAUUUCAAGAGCUAGAUUCAAGGAUAUUAAACUAAAUUAUGACUAACUGUUCAACAUUGUCAAUUAACUCAAUCCAUUCUUAUGAUUAAAUAAUGUUCAGAAAGUAGGGAUAAGGCUUAUGGUAUGAAACUUUUCAAUGGUUUCUAAGUUUGGUAGGUUUGACCAAAUAGUUUGAUUGAUAAACGCUUAGGAAUAACCUAUGUGAGGGUGAAGUGAAAGUUGUUUCAAGGAGAAUGAUAGUAAAGGCCUAUUCUCUAAUCUCUCAUAAAACAGAAAAUGUUCAUGGAUGGAAUGAAUAAAACUGUAAGAAUAAUAAAUGGUAAAAGACUAGUUGCAUAACUUGUAUUUUUAGGUGUACAUUAAAGUUUGAUGGUUCAGAUAUAUCUCAACUACCAAUUGACCAAGUGCAUCCGAUGCAAGUUCACUUUGGAAAGUUCAAACGAAAACUCGCUAAACCAGAUGUAAUUAGUCUUUGCUUGUUAUUCACACACUUAACCAUAUAUUUCUGGAUAAAAUAGCCUUUCCUCAUUUAUGUGGAGGAUUUUUAGAUUUUUAAGAGGUGUGAAUGAAAAAUGAAUAGGUGUUUUUUCAAAAAGACAUCAAAAGAAAGGGUGUUAUUUGAAUAGACACCUUCUUAGUUUGGAUUAUUAUAACCAUUUCGAUGGGUUGUGAAUUUUACAAAGAGUUGCACCUUUUCUGAAGAGUUGCACCUUUAUGAAGAGGUGCACUUUUCUAAACCACUGCUUCUCUUCAUGAAGCAACACCUUGAGCGAUAUAAAUAUCUAAUUUUCACUAAGGUACAUAUAUGAAAUUUUGAAGUAAUAAAGCACUCCUCUUUCUUAAAAAAACUCUAGUGUGAUUUAUUACCGUUGAGUUUAUUCGUAGUUCAACAGAGUUUGAUGCACCACUAUUUUGUCGAAGUGAUUUAUUUUAUCCUGGGAGGAUUUAUUACAUAAUCUCGGGUACUUGAAGAAAAUAAUUUUCUCAAGUACAUACCGUGAAUUUGGUGGACUUUAAUCUUCCAAUCUUCAUCUCUUUCUAAACGUUUGAUUUUUUUAAUUUUAUAGAAAUUAGUUUGACUUUCAUUUUUGGUUGUUCAUAAGUUACGUUGAACUUAUUUUUAAAAGUUCAAAGUUGUGAAUAUACAGUUAAAAUUUCAUUUAAUUAUUCAUACUUUAGUUUAAAUAUGUGUUUGAAUUUUUUGUUGUAAAAUAUAUAUUUUACGAAAUUCGUAAAACAACAAGCAAUACUUACAUGCGUUGUUAACAAUUUUAUUUUUGUGACUCAAAUAGAUGAUAUUAUUUGUGUGGGAUUUCUUUUUAUCUCUAAAAAAAGUAAAUCCAAAAAUAUAAGAUUCAAGUUCAAUUAUUUGUUAGACCUAAAAAGAAAACCUCACACAGCUAGUUUCAAUCAUGUCUAUAUUCUUGAUAGAUAUUUACUAUAAUAUAAAUAUAUUUAUAACACUCCUCCUUGAAUGUCUAAUUAAUAAAUAAUGUGUCUUAUUAAAACUUUAUUCAGUGAAAAAAAUCUAGUGAAGAAAAAAGAGUACAUAUCUCUAAUAAUACGCAUUUCAGCUGCCUCAUUAAAAAUUUUAUAAGAAAAAUUCAGCGGGACAAAACCUUGAAGGAAAAAAAAA
rnacentral:lncRNA from 1 species